GCAGCAGGUGGGCUAGUGAGAGUCACAGUCCUGCUGGGAUACAGCCAGCUGUUCCCAGGAAUGAAUCUCAAGUAAAUUAACAAACACCACACAAACCUGUCAAUUGAAUCAUUCUUGAUUACUGUAAAUGCUGGGCUACCCGUUGAGGAGCUUCUCCCUCCAUGCAGAGGGAGUUCUGUAUGUGCUGUGUGUGUAAGUGGGAUGGCGAUGCCCUGUCCUCCACGUGGAGGGUCCUUUGGUGCCCAGGGUUGUACCUGACUUGGUCCUAUGGGCUGAAGUGCUGAAGAGGUAUAAGGUGGUUCCCUCACCUCUCUGAAGGUUCUGUGGGCUGACAAAUGGCUCGCGAACGAUUUGGGGAUAACUCAAAGCAUCCAUCCUCCUGUAGCAAGAUAGAAAUGGUGCAAAUUGACUCUUUUUUCUUUUGGAGGCUUUUCCUUGUCAUCUGCAUGGCCAGCGAGUGGCUCAAAAUUCCACAGACCCUCUGGGAAUCCACACAUGCAGCAGCCAUUUCCCACUGGGCAGAAGGACACAGAGGACAACCUCCUGUCUGUGGAGGUGAGAGCUGGAAACACACUGUAUUGAAGCCAGGAGAGCUUCUGGUAACAGAGUGUGGCCCAUGCAGCCACUGGGUGAGCUGGGACAGCGAGUAGACCUGCAGAGAGCAGCACUGGGUGGCUCUGCAGGAUGCUGCUGCACGGGGCCUGACUGCUGACUGUCUUCAAACUAGAAAUAUCCUUAAAGCUGGUAACCUGCAUAGCCUUGGUGGCAUUUUGUUUGGUGUUCCUCUUCGUGCUUGCAGUUGGUGAUGGAUGGAGCCAGGAGGAGCAGCGCAGCAUCACCUUGAUCCUAUACAACAUCACCUCGAUCCCAUGCAGCAGAACCCAUUGGGAUGAAUCAGGCUCUUUCCCACAGAGGAAACACCCCUGAAACCAGAAAGCUUUGCCCAAGCCUCCUCCAUGGAGUUGCUGGAGGGAAGUCACAUGGUGCACCGCAGCGGGGGGACCCAUGGCAAAGGCUGUAACAUGUACAGAGCUCAUGGUGCCCGUCCCCAGCCGGUCCCAGCCCUGACCCUUUGCCAGGGUCUCUGUAGGGAGUGUCAGCACUGGCGCCGGUUUGUUCAGCUUCGGGCAGCCUGGGAAUACGCGCUUGACACAACCCUAAUUGACAAUUGAACCUCAAUUUGAUUCUGUGCAAGUCAGCAGACAGAGCACCUGGUUUCUGCUCGUGUGAGAUCGCAGUGUGCACCGCACCGCCCGCAGGGCCUGCAACCAGAGCAGCAGGAUCAGUCCUGGGGCGGAGGUUUGGUGCGUGGGAGAGGGAGCGUGGCCGUAACCUCAUCAGUGUAAAUCUCUGGCUGUGUGGAUAUUAGCAACGUGUUCCCCCAGCUGCGUCAGUGUAUGUGUUUGUGUAUACAGACUCAAUUUAUGUCAUUUUGUAAGCAGAGAAGCGUUUGCGCCAGACUCUGUGUGAUUUUUUGAGAGACGUGCUUACAUGUUUGGAUAGAUUUAAUAACAGCAUGUGUGUGCCUGGGUUUAUAUUUAGCCAGGCUGGCAGGGAGGGCUCGGUGGGCAGCAGCUCGGGGUGCCCUGGCCAGAAGCACUGAGCUCUGUGGGCAGCACGGGGCUGGCUCUGCCCCUACCCCCACCGGCU
rnacentral:lncRNA from 1 species